AAAUUGAAGAGUUUGAUCAUGGCUCAGAUUGAACGCUGGCGGCAGGCCUAACACAUGCAAGUCGAACGGUAACAGGAAACAGCUUGCUGUUUCGAUGACGAGUGGCGGACGGGUGAGUAAUGUCUGGGAAACUGCCUGAUGGAGGGGGAUAACUACUGGAAACGGUAGCUAAUACCGCAUAACGUCGCAAGACCAAAGAGGGGGACCUUCGGGCCUCUUGCCAUCGGAUGUGCCCAGAUGGGAUUAGCUAGUAGGUGGGGUAACGGCUCACCUAGGCGACGAUCCCUAGCUGGUCUGAGAGGAUGACCAGCCACACUGGAACUGAGACACGGUCCAGACUCCUACGGGAGGCAGCAGUGGGGAAUAUUGCACAAUGGGCGCAAGCCUGAUGCAGCCAUGCCGCGUGUAUGAAGAAGGCCUUCGGGUUGUAAAGUACUUUCAGCGGGGAGGAAGGGAGUAAAGUUAAUACCUUUGCUCAUUGACGUUACCCGCAGAAGAAGCACCGGCUAACUCCGUGCCAGCAGCCGCGGUAAUACGGAG
rnacentral:rRNA from 1 species